GAUGAACGCUGGCGGUAUGCUUAACACAUGCAAGUCGAACGGACUCUUCGGAGUUAGUGGCGGACGGGUGAGUAACGCGUGAGAAUCUGGCUUUGGGUUCGGGACAACCACUGGAAACGGUGGCUAAUACCGGGUGUGCCGAGAGGUAAAAGAGAAAUUGCCUGAAGAUGAGCUCGCGUCUGAUUAGCUAGUUGGUGAGGUAAAGGCUCACCAAGGCAGCGAUCAGUAGCUGGUCUGAGAGGAUGACCAGCCACACUGGGACUGAGACACGGCCCAGACUCCUACGGGAGGCAGCAGUGGGGAAUUUUCCGCAAUGGGCGAAAGCCUGACGGAGCAAUACCGCGUGAGGGAAGAAGGCUCUUGGGUUGUAAACCUCUUUUCUUAGGGAAGAACAAAAUGACGGUACCUAAGGAAUCAGCAUCGGCUAACUCCGUG
rnacentral:rRNA from 1 species